AUUGAACGCUGGCGGCAUGCUUUACACAUGCAAGUCGAACGGUAACAGGCCGCAAGGUGCUGACGGGUGGCGAACGGGGGAGUAAUGCAUCGGAACGUGCCCAGUCGCGGGGGAUAACUACUCGAAAGAGUAGCUAAUACCGCAUACGAUCUAUGGUUGAAAGCGGGGGACCGUAAGGCCUCGCGCGAUUGGAUCGGCCGAUGUCAGAUUAGGUAGUUGGUGGGGUAAAGGCUCACCAAGCCAACGAUCUGUAGCUGGUCUGAGAGGACGAGCAGACACACUGGGACUGAGACACGGCCCAGACUCCUACGGGAGGCAGCAGUGGGGAAUUUUGGACAAUGGGGGAAAGGCUGAUCCAGCAAUGCCGCGUGCAGGAAGAAGGAGUUCGGGUUGUAAACUGCUUUUGUACGGAGCGAAACGGCUCUGGUUAAUACCCGGGGAUAAUGACGGUACCGUAAGAAUAAGCACCGGCUAACUACGUG
rnacentral:rRNA from 1 species